GAUAAACCCUAAUCCAACAAAAUCCUUUUAAUGUGACGAAGCUUUAAGACACCAUCUUCUCAAGUGAAGCAUUUUGUUCAAUUUUCAACAAGAAAUCUUUUAAUGAGGCGUGUUCAUCUGUGAGGCCUAACCUUCAGCGAGAACAACUCUUCAGCGAGAAUAUGACGGAAGAGAUCUUCAGCUCUUCAACAAGAAAUCUGUGAGAAAGUUUGAUGGAAAUUGUGUUCUUCAUACUUGGAGAGAAAAGCCUAAAGAGCGUGUUCUUCAAUUUGA
rnacentral:lncRNA from 1 species